rnacentral:rRNA from 1 species
CGGACGGGUGAGUAAUGUCUGGGAAACUGCCUGAUGGAGGGGGAUAACUACUGGAAACGGUAGCUAAUACCGCAUAAUGUCUACGGACCAAAGCGGGGGACCUCCGGGCCUCUUGCCAUCGGAUGUGCCCAGAUGGGAUUAGCUAGUAGGUGGGGUAACGGCUCACCUAGGCGACGAUCCCUAGCUGGUCUGAGAGGAUGACCAGCCACACUGGAACUGAGACACGGUCCAG